rnacentral:rRNA from 1 species
UACGUAGGGGGCAAGCGUUGUCCGGAAUUAUUGGGCGUAAAGAGCUCGUAGGCGGCUUGUCACGUCGGUUGUGAAAGCCCGGGGCUUAACCCCGGGUCUGCAGUCGAUACGGGCAGGCUAGAGUGUGGUAGGGGAGAUCGGAAUUCCUGGUGUAGCGGUGAAAUGCGCAGAUAUCAGGAGGAACACCGGUGGCGAAGGCGGAUCUCUGGGCCAUUACUGACGCUGAGGAGCGAAAGCGUGGGGAGCGAACAGG